rnacentral:lncRNA from 12 species
CUGGGAUCCUGCUGAGUGUGGAACGAAAAAGAUCUCACUACCAAGAGAAAAGAUAUGGAUUCCAGACAUUGUCAUCAAUGAAUUCAUGGAUGAAAACCGAGCACCAGAAACAUAUUACGUCUAUGUGACCAACACUGGACUGGUGCUUGACGGACGGCCGUUUCACGUGAUCAGCUCCUGCAGACUGGACAUCUACACCUUUCCAUUUGAUUUUCAAAACUGUACAUACACGUUCAACUCUUAUAAACACUCUCGUGAUGAUGUUCAGUUGUUCUUCUUUCUGCCAGUGGAGCAGAUAUUCAAAAAUUCUCUUGAAGCGAUGACAACUAAAGGAGAGUGGGAGCUGAUAGACAUGAGAGCAGAAAAACCUGUACAACUCUUUCUGGAAGGGGGAUGGGAUAACCUCAUUAUUUAUGUUGGUGCCAUUUUAGAUUUGGGGGAGAAUUCACUAAGAAUCGCAACUGAUACUGUCACGAUUGGUGAACGUGAUUUCACCAAGUACAACAUGUUCCUGGACCAACAUCCUUGUUGAUCCUGGAACAAUAUUCCAAUCAACCAUUCAGAAUUGAGGGAUAACUUUUCAGGAAAUAUCUGUUUUAGGCUUACGAUCAGGGUUAGGUGCUUCUACAUCCUUGUUAAUCAGCUAUCAUUUCCCACUGAUUUUAGGAAUAAAAUAUGGGUAGGGUUAGGUUAAGGGGUAGGGAUUGGGUUAAGUCUAUAUUUUUGGACAGUAAUGUUGAUCCAGGAUCAUCAAAAGAUGUUGAUCCAGGAACAUGUCUUACUUAGCAAAAUCACAGCGAGCGUCACAAUUAGGUGCAUGUUACUGUGAUCCAGACAUCAACAAAUAAAGCUGAAAGUGUGUUUGACUACACCAGGCGCGUCUAAUCUUACUCCUGGAGGACCAACGUCGUGCAGAGUUUAGCUCCAAACAGCUCCAACACACUUGCCUCAAAGUUUAUAGUGAAUCUGAAGACCUUUGCUGUGCCUGAAAUCAACCCUUUACCCUUAAAUAGACUUUUUAAAGGGACAGCCAUUUGUAGUGGUGUCCAAAAUCAUAGUGGACAUUAACAAGUGUACUCAUUCAAUCCCACAAUGCACUGUGAUAGUGAGUGUACAACCGAUGUAUCCUAGAGAAUACCCGAUUUCAUUCACUCCUUCAACUGGACUUCAU